CGCUUAUCUAGAGCAGUCGAGGGACCCGGCCCGUUGACACUGCAGCAACCAACCACAAUGGAAAGGUGCUAACUCCGGCAGCGAAAGCUGGAAGAUAAGAG
rnacentral:ncRNA from 1 species